rnacentral:rRNA from 1 species
UACGUAGGGUGCGAGCGUUGUCCGGAAUUAUUGGGCGUAAAGGGCUCGUAGGCGGUUUGUCGCGUCGGGAGUGAAAACCAGGUGCUUAACACCUGGCUUGCUUUCGAUACGGGCAGACUAGAGGUAUGCAGGGGAGAACGGAAUUCCUGGUGUAGCGGUGAAAUGCGCAGAUAUCGGGAAGAACACCGGUGGCGAAGGCGGCUUGCUGGGCCGUAGCUGACGCUGAGGCGCGAAAGCGUGGGGAGCAAACAGG